rnacentral:piRNA from 1 species
UCCUUCUUUUACAACUUUCUGAGGACGAGC